rnacentral:pre_miRNA from 1 species
AUCUGAAUCACUUGGUGAUCUUGUUAUAUAGAUUCUGACUCAGUCAGUCUCAGGGGCCUGAGAUUCUGCAUUUCUAACAUGCACCAGGUGAUGCUGCU